UACGUAGGGUGCGAGCGUUGUCCGGAAUUAUUGGGCGUAAAGAGCUCGUAGGUGGCGGGUCACGUCGGGUGUGAAAGCCCGGGGCUUAACUCCGGGUCUGCAUUCGAUACGGGUCUGCUGGGGUCCGGCAGGGGAGACUGGAAUUCCUGGUGUAGCGGUGAAAUGCGCAGAUAUCAGGAGGAACACCGGUGGCGAAGGCGGGUCUCUGGGCCGGUACCGACGCUGAGGAGCGAAGGCGUGGGGAGCGAACAGG
rnacentral:rRNA from 1 species